rnacentral:rRNA from 1 species
UUAGCAGAAGAUGCUUUGGUGCCUUCGGGAACUAUGAGACAGGUGCUGCAUGGCUGUCGUCAGCUCGUGUUGUGAAAUGUUGGGUUAAGUCCCGCACAAAUGCCGGGAGCAUGUGGUUUAAUUCGAUGCAACGCGAAGAACCUUACCUACUCUUGACAUCCAUAGAACUUAGCAGAGAUGCUUUGGUGCCUUCGGGAACUAUGAGACAGGUGCUGCAUGGCUGUCGUCAGCUCGUGUUGUGAAAUGUUGGGUUAAGUCCCGCAACGAGCGCAACCCUUAUCCUUGUUUGCCAGCGAGUAAUGUCGGGAACUCCAGGGAGACUGCCGGUGAUAAACCGGAGGAAGGUGGGGACGACGUCAAGUCAUCAUGGCCCUUACGAGUAGGGCUACACACGUGCUACAAUGGCGUAUACAGAGGGCUGCCAACCAGCGAUGGUGAGCGAAUCCCAAAA